GACGAACGCUGGCGGCGUGCUCAACACAUGCAAGUCGAACGAGGUCCAAGCGUUAGCAAUAACGUGGAAGAUCUAGUGGCGAACGGGUGAGUAACACGUGAGGAACCUACCCCGACUCAGGGAUAACUGCUGGAAACGGCUGCUAAUACCUGAUGCCGUCGGAGCAUCACAUGGUGCACUGACGAAAGAAUCUCGGUUCGGGAGGGCCUCGCGGCCUAUCAGCUUGUUGGUGGGGUAACGGCCUACCAAGGCAUCGACGGGUAGCUGGUCUGAGAGGAUGAUCAGCCA
rnacentral:rRNA from 1 species